rnacentral:rRNA from 12 species
AGCGAACGGGGAACAGCCCAAACCGUACCCUACGGGGUGCGGGGUAGUAGGACCUGCGUAAUCAACAAAAUCUUAAGUCGAAGCCGCCUGGAAAGCGGCCCUAUAAAAGGUGACAGGCCUGUAGGCGUACGGAUUUUGGCGAGGCGGGUAUCCUGAGUAGUGCGAGGCCGGUGAAACCUUGCAUGAAUCUGCCGGCACCAUCCGGUAAGGCUAAAUACAUCUGCAUGACCGAUAGUGAACUAGUACCGUGAGGGAAAGGUGAAAAGAACGCCGAGAAGGCGAGUGAAAUAGUACCUGAAACCGUGUGCUUACAAGCGGUCGGAGCCAUAUUUAUAUGGUGACGGCGUGCCUUUUGUAUAAUGAGCCUACGAGUUACUCCUGUUGUGCGAGGUUAAG